AUUGAACGCUGGCGGCAGGCUUAACACAUGCAAGUCGAGCGGAGAUGAGGUGCUUGCACCUUAUCUUAGCGGCGGACGGGUGAGUAAUGCUUAGGAAUCUGCCUAUUAUUGGGGGACAACAUUCCGAAAGGAAUGCUAAUACCGCAUACGUCCUACGGGAGAAAGCAGGGGAUCUUCGGACCUUGCGCUAAUAGAUGAGCCUAAGUCGGAUUAGCUAGUUGGUGGGGUAAAGGCCUACCAAGGCGACGAUCUGUAGCGGGUCUGAGAGGAUGAUCCGCCACACUGGGACUGGGACACGGCCCAGACUCCUACGGGAGGCAGCAGUGGGGAAUAUUGGACAAUGGGGGGAACCCUGAUCCAGCCAUGCCGCGUGUGGGAAGAAGGCCUUAUGGUUGUAAAGCACUUUAAGCGAGGAGGAGGCUACUGAGACUAAUACUCUUGGAUAGUGGACGUUACUCGCAGAAUAAGCACCGGCUAACUCUGUGCCAGCAGCCGCCGUAA
rnacentral:rRNA from 1 species